rnacentral:rRNA from 1 species
GACGAACGCUGGCGGCGCGCCUAACACAUGCAAGUCGAACGGAGCUCAGAGAGCUUGCUUUUUAAGCUUAGUGGCGAACGGGUGAGUAACGCGUGAGUAACCUGCCCUAGAGUGGGGGACAACAGUUGGAAACGACUGCUAAUACCGCAUAAGCCCACGGUACCGCAUGGUACUGAGGGAAAAGGAUUUAUUCGCUUUAGGAUGGACUCGCGUCCAAUUAGCUAGUUGGUGAGGUAACGGCCCACCAAGGCGACGAUUGGUAGCCGGACUGAGAGGUUGAACGGCCACAUUGGGACUGAGACACGGCCCAGACUCCUACGGGAGGCAGCAGUGGGGGAUAUUGCACAAUGGGGGAAACCCUGAUGCAGCGACGCCGCGUGGAGGAAGAAGGUUUUCGGAUUGUAAACUCCUGUCGUUAGGGACGAUAAUGACGGUACCUAACAAGAAAGCACCGGCUAACUACGUGCCAGCAGCCGCGGUAAAACGUAGGGUGCAAGCGUUGUCCGGAAAUACUGGGCGUAAAGGGAGCGCAGCGGGAAGACAGUUGGAAGUGAAAACCAUGGGCUCAACCCAUGAAUUGCUUUCAAAACUGUUUUUCUUGAGUAGUGCAGAGGUAGAUGGAAUUCCCGGUGUAGCGGUGGAAUGCGUAGAUAUCGGGAGGAACACCAGUGGCGAAGGCGGUCUACUGGGCACCAACUGACGCUGAGGCUCGAAAGCAUGGGUAGCAAACAGGAUUAGAUACCCUGGUAGUCCAUGCCGUAAACGAUGAUUACUAGGUGUUGGGGGAUUGACCCCCUCAGUGCCGCAGUUAACACAAUAAGUAAUCCACCUGGGGAGUACGACCGCAAGGUUGAAACUCAAAGGAAUUGACGGGGGCCCGCACAAGCAGUGGAGUAUGUGGUUUAAUUCGAAGCAACGCGAAGAACCUUACCAGGUCUUGACAUCCGAUGCAUAGCACAGAGAUGUGUGAAAUCCUUCGGGACAUCGAGACAGGUGGUGCAUGGUUGUCGUCAGCUCGUGUCGUGAGAUGUUGGGUUAAGUCCCGCAACGAGCGCAACCCUUAUUGCCAGUUACUACGUUAAGAGGACUCUGGCGAGACUGCCGUUGACAAAACGGAGGAAGGUGGGGAUGACGUCAAAUCAUCAUGCCCUUUAUGACCUGGGCUACACACGUACUACAAUGGCGUUAAACAAAGAGAAGCAAGACCGCGAGGUGGAGCAAAACUCAAAAACAACGUCUCAGUUCAGAUUGCAGGCUGCAACUCGCCUGCAUGAAGUCGGAAUUGCUAGUAAUCGCGGAUCAGCAUGCCGCGGUGAAUACGUUCCCGGGCCUU